rnacentral:rRNA from 1 species
GACGUAGGGCGCGAGCGUUGUCCGGAUUUAUUGGGCGUAAAGAGCUCGUAGGCGGCUUGUCGCGUCGUCCGUGGAAACCUGCGGCUCAACUGCAGGCUGGCGGUCGAUACGGGCAGGCUGGAGUUCGGUAGGGGAGACUGGAAUUCCAGGUGUAGCGGUGAAAUGCGUAGAUAUCUGGAGGAACACCGGUGGCGAAGGCGGCAUCCUGGACCGGCAUUGACGCUGAGGCGCGAAAGCCAGGGGAGCAAACGGG